AACGAACGCUGGCGGCAUGCCUAACACAUGCAAGUCGAACGAGACCUUCGGGUCUAGUGGCGCACGGGUGCGUAACGCGUGGGAACCUGCCCUUAGGUUCGGAAUAACUCCCCGAAAGGGGUGCUAAUACCGGAUAAUGUCUUCGGACCAAAGAUUUAUCGUCUUUGGAUGGGCCCGCGUUGGAUUAGCUAGUUGGUAGGGUAAAAGCCUACCAAGGCGACGAUCCAUAGCUGGUCUGAGAGGAUGAUCAGCCACACUGGGACUGAGACACGGCCCAGACUCCUACGGGAGGCAGCAGUGGGGAAUAUUGGACAAUGGGCGAAAGCCUGAUCCAGCAAUGCCGCGUGAGUGAUGAAGGCCUUAGGGUUGUAAAGCUCUUUUACCCGGGAUGAUAAUGACAGUACCGGGAGAAUAAGCACCGGCUAACUCCGUG
rnacentral:rRNA from 1 species